rnacentral:tRNA from 1 species
GCGCCUGUAGCUCAACCGGACAGAGCGGCGGUCUUCGGAACCGCAGGUUGUAGGCUCGAAUCCUACCAGGCGCACUA